UUCUGUUCAGGUCUGUUGGAGUUUUCUGGAGGUCCACUCCAGACCCUGUUUGCCUGGGUAUCACCAGCAUACACUGCUGAACAGGAAGGAUUGCUGUCUGUUCCUUUUUCUGGAAGCUUUGUCCCAGAGGCGCACCUGCCACAUGCCAGCUGGAGCUCUCCUGUAUGAGGUGUCUGUCGACCCCUGCUGGGAGGUGUCUCUCUGUCAGGAGGCACAGGAGUCAGGGACUCACUUGAGGAGGGAGUCUGUCCCUUAGCAGAGCUCAAGCACUGUUCCGGGGAAACCACUGCUUUCUUCAGAGCCAGCAGGCAGGAACGUUUAAAUCUGCUGAAGCCUGCGCCCACAGCUGCCCCUUCCCCCAGGUGCUCUGUCCCAGGGAGAUGGGGGUUUUAUCUAUAAGCCCCUGACUGGGGCUGCUGCUUUUUUUCUAGAGAUGCCCUGCCCAGAGAGGAGGAAUUUAGAGAGGCAGUCUGGCUACAGUGGCUUUGCUGGCUGACUCUUACACUAAAGGUAGGACCUCACUCCACAGGGAAAGGUCAGGUGAUUUUAACAGUCCUGCUGUCCAGUUUCCUGUUAUCAUUAUGCUCUCAGCUUUCCCAAAGCAACUAUCAGUAUCUUUACAAUGAUCAACAUCUCCCAAGCCGAACAUGGGGAAGGCUAUUAAUUCAAGUCCAUAUAUUGUUAGGCUGGUUACUUAACCUCUCCGGGCCUCAAAUAGUCCUUUUCUUAUAGCUUUGUCAUGAAGAUUCAGUGAGCUAAUACUUGUUAAGCGCCUAGAAGAGUACCUGAAAAGUAUUCAAUUAGUAGUAGUUGUGAGGAAGAUGUUAGUAAUGAUGAUUAGCUUCCUGAGAAGCCAAGGAUGAUGAUGAUGAUGAUGAUGAUGACUUACUCAGAAUUCCAAAUGUGCAAAAUCGGAGGGUUCAAUAAGUGAGGGGUUGUCCUUGUAUAGGGUCUCCCAUAAUGGGCAAGCAGACAGCUAGGAGUCAUGGUGACUUUCCUGAAGAUUGAGAAGACUCUGAGGCUCACCUGCCACCAGCCAUUUAACCUGUGUAAUGGUUGUAAAGGACGCAGACCCUUCCUGAAAACUAAGUAAAAUUCCCCUUUUUUACUACAUUCUGUUCUGCUUGUGGCUGGGAAGGGAAGUCCAUCCUUAAACAAGUACUCCCCAUCAGUAGUCUAGGAUCUCAUGCACUUCAGUGAUUUCCAUAUUGCACAGUACAGGGAAAUGACACUGACUCAGGAGCCAAUUGUUUCUGUGUUCAAAUCCCACAUCUUCUAUUUAGUAGCAGUGCAUUCUUGAGCAGGUUAUUAAACUUCUCUGAUCUCCCAUUUUUCUCAUUGGUAAAAUUUAGAUAAUACCUACUGUGUGGGGUUGCAGUGAAAUUUUUAAGAGUGAUGGAGAGAAUCAUCAUUCAAUGGAUACCCAUAAUGUGGCGGAUUUUGUCCUAAGUGCUUUCACAUACUUAAUUAUAUAUGGGGUGCAGCAUAGUAUAAUCGCUAAGAGCAUGGAUACUAAAGCCGGAUAGUCUGGAUUCAAAUCUCAGCAAAUUCCAUUUGCUAACUAUGUGACCUUUGGUGAACUCACUAACUUCCUGAAAUCUCAGUACCCCAAUCUGUAAAAUGGAGAUAAUAGUAGAAUCUACCUUAUUGGAUUGUUAUGGAGAAUAAAUGAGUUAAUAUUUAUAAAGUGAACAUAAAAAGCAUUAUUUGAGUGUUUGAUAAAUAACUAAACAAAUCAAAUAUU
rnacentral:lncRNA from 10 species